GCAAUGUCUUUGUCGUUUUAGGAAGCUGUCCAGUCUCCAAAUGUGUAAAGUUAAGCAAAUAUGAGACUACCUAAAGGGCAGCCCUUUUGCAAUUUAGGAAGGCUGUCGUUUGCAGCUAAUUAGCUAACGUUACAUAGCUACCGUCGUUAGUUACGUUGCAUAAGCUUCCACCUCGUCAGUCAUGGUUAACAUUAGUCCAUUCCCCCGUACUAGCUAUCGUUAACCUGUUAAUACUUGCAUUAAACAUUUCCCAGCCGUCGAUAAAUCUGAGGGAGUUGAAGUUGUGGCGUCAACGAAACAUUGCGACAGAACUUUGUUUCAACCUACAAAAAAAAAAUAGCAUUCACUACUAUCAUUCCUGUGAGAGAAGGGGUGUAAUAUCUCCAGAUGGGCAUGUGGUACCCUUCCUUACCCAUGCCAACAAGAUGUUACUCUUGUGGGGUAUUUGCCUUGACAUUUGCUGAAUGUGUUCUGAAAGAGGAGUCGAUUGUCUUUUCAAAUACGGACAAAGAUGUUAACAUCAUGAGAGAAGAAAUAGCAGUCACUCUCCUCCAAAACACUGAUGACCUGUGCUAACUGUGCCACUUCUGUGGGGAGGUGGACAAUAAUGAGGAAGACACUAACAGGAUUGGUUGUGACUGCUGCCCACGAUGGUUCCACCAGUCCUGUAUGAAAACCAUCCCAUCAUUGGAGGAUUAUGUCUGUGCUGCCUGUCAGGACUAGGUUAGGGUUGAGUUCCAGGCGACGAUAUCACCUGGAAAACUUUCCAUAAAAAGUGGACUAAAUGUUCAGUCGAGCUGUUGCAGCUUUCCAAUUUGUUUAUGUUAUUUAUUGUCUUUUUAUAUUUCAUUUAUUGUCAUUUUAUAUGUUAUUAUGGAAAUAUGAAAAUUUGUAUUUCCUAUUUAAUGGUUGUUAACAAACGUAACUUUCUGUAAUGUUUUUGUGUUAUCGUGUGAUAAUAUUUGUGUAUUAUCUUUAUUUUCUUAAACAUUACAAAAUGUUUCUAAAAUAAAUGUUUUUUCUUUAUACUCUUUCUGUGGCACACACUACUGCUCAACAGGAGCUACCAAAAUGAUUAUGAAGUGUGCCAGGCCUUGCAGUCCCAAAAUAGAAGGGGGAGAGAAUUUCGGCAGGCAAGAAAAUAGCCUUGCUGAAGAAUUUGGCAUAACAUCCAACUAGCCUCACAACCGCAGACCACGUGUAACCACGUCAGCCCAGGACCUCCACAUCCGGCUUAUUCACCUUCGGGAUCGUCUGAGACCAGCCACCCGGAGCGCUGAUGAAACUGUGGGUUUGCACAACUGAAGAAUUUCAGCACAAACUGUCAGAAACUGUCUCAGGGAAACUCAUCUGUGUGCUUGUUGUCCUCACCAGGGUCGGUGUCAUAACCAACUUUAGUGGGUUGAUGCUCACCUUCGAUGGCCAGUGGCAUGUUGGAGAAGUGUGCUCUUCACAGAUUUAUCCGGGCAGUAUGGCAUCGUGUGGGCAAGUGGUUUGCUGAUGUCAACGUUGUGAACAGAGUGCCCAAUGGUGACAGUGGGGUUAUGGUAUGGCCGGCAUAAACUAAGGACAGGGAACACAAUUGCCUUUUAUCGAUGGCAAUUUCAAUGCACAGAGAUACCGUGAUGAGAUCCUGAGGCCCAUUGUCGUGCCAUUCACCUCAUGUUUCAGCAUAAUAUGGCACAACCCCAUGUCUCAAGGAGCUGUACACAAUUCCUGGAAGCUGAAAAUGUCUCAGUUCUUCCAUGGCCUGCAUACUCACAGACAUGUCACCCAUUGAGCAUGUUUGGGAUGCUCUGGAUCGAUGUUUACAACAGCGUGUUCCGGUUCCCGCCAAUAUCCAGCAACUUCACACAGCCAUUGAAAAGGAGCGGAACAUUCCACAGGCCACAAUCAACAGCCUGAUCAACUCUAUAAAAAGGAGCUGUGUAACGCUGUGUGAGGCAAAUGGUGGUCACACCAGACACUGACUGGUUUUCUGAUACAUACCCGUACCUUUUUUUAAAGGUACCUGUGACCAACAGACACAUGUCUGUAUUCCCAGUCAUGUGAAAUCCAUAGAUUAGGGCCCAAUGAAUUUAUCUCAAUUGACUGAUUUCCUUAUAUGAACUGUAACUCAGUAAAAUCUUUGAAACUGUUGCAUGUUGCAUUUAUAUUUUUGUUCAGUGUAUAUUGCACAGUGAGGAGAAAUUCAACAGUGGACAUAGUUCUUCUCCC
rnacentral:lncRNA from 1 species